rnacentral:rRNA from 1 species
UAAUACGGAGGGUGCAAGCGUUAUCCGGAUUUAUUGGGUUUAAAGGGUCCGUAGGUGGAUCGUUAAGUCAGGGGUGAAAGCCUACAGCUCAACUGUAGAAUUGCCUUUGAUACUGACGAUCUUGAAUGUGGUCGAAGUUGGCGGAAUAUGACAUGUAGCGGUGAAAUGCUUAGAGAUGUCAUAGAACACCGAUUGCGAAGGCAGCCAACUAGGUCACAACUGACACUGAGGGACGAAAGCGUGGGGAGCGAACAGGAUUAGAUACCCUGGUAGUCCACGCCGUAUACGAUGAAUACUCGGUAUUGGCUUCGGUCAGUGCCCAAGCGAAAGUGAUAAGUAUUCCACCUGGGGAGUACGGCCGCAAGGCUG